AGAUGACCUCUUCAUGAAAGUUGUCGUUCAGGGAGGGGCCCGCGUACCAUUAGCUUGUUGGUGGGGUAAUGGCCCACCAAGGCAACGAUGGUUAGCUGGUCUGAGAGGAUGAUCAGCCACACUGGAACUGAAACACGGUCCAGACUCCUACGGGAGGCAGCAGUGAGGAAUUUUGCGCAAUGGGGGAAACCCUGACGCAGCAACGCCGCGUGAGUGAAGAAGGCUUUCGGGUCGUAAAGCUCUGUCAAGUGGGAAAAAAAGCUCUCGAUUAAUAGUCGGGAGACCUGAUGGUACCACUGGAGGAAGCACCGGCUAACUCCGUGCCAGCAGCCGCGGUAAUACGGAGGUGCAAGCGUUGUUCGGAAUUACUGGGCGUAAAGAGCGUGUAGGCGGUUUGGCAAGUCAGAUGUGAAAGCCCUGGGCUCAACCCAGGAAGUGCAUUUGAAACUGCCAUCCUUGAGUAUGGGAGAGGAGAGUGGAAUUCCCAAUGUAGAGGUGAAAUUCGUGGAUAUUGGGAGGAACACCCGUGGCGAAGGCGACUCUCUGGACCAAUACUGACGCUGAGACGCGAAAGCGUGGGGAGCAAACAGGAUUAGAUACCCUGGUAGUCCACGCCGUAAACGAUGAGAACUAGGUGUAGCGGGUAUUGACCCCUGCUGUGCCGAAGUUAACGCAUUAAGUUCUCCGCCUGGGGAGUACGGCCGCAAGGCUAAAACCCAAAGGAAUUGACGGGGGCCCGCACAAGCGGUGGAGCAUGUGGUUUAAUUCGACGCAACGCGAAGAACCUUACCUGGGUUUGACAUCCCUUGACCGUCUGGGAAGCCAGAUUUUUCCGACUUUGUCGGAACAGAGUGACAGGUGCUGCAUGGCUGUCGUCAGCUCGUGUCGUGAGAUGUUGGGUUAAGUCCCGCAACGAGCGUAACCCUUGUCUUUAGUUGCCAUUAUUAAGUUAGGCACUCUAAAGAGACCGCCUCGGUUAACGGGGAGGAAGGUGGGGAUGACGUCAAGUCCCCAUGGCCUUUAUAUCCAGGGCUACACACGUGCUACAAUGGGCUGUACAAAGGGUUGCUAGUCUGCGAAGAGGAGCUAAUCCCAAAAAGCAGCUCUCAGUUCGGAUUGGAGUCUGCAACUCGACUCCAUGAAGUUGGAAUCGCUAGUAAUCGUGGAUCAGCAUGCCACGGUGAAUACGUUCCCGGGCCUUGUACACACCGCCCGUCACACCACGAAAGUCGGCUGUACCAGAAGUUGCUGGGCUAACCCCCUUGGGGGAGGUAGGUACCUAAGGUACGGUCGGUAAUUGGGGUGAAGUCGUAACAAGGUA
rnacentral:rRNA from 1 species